CACACUCUUGCUGGCCGAAGCUUCACGCUGCGCGUGAGGUACUUAGUAGGCUGGCCGGAGUGUU
rnacentral:sRNA from 12 species